GAAUUGGAGUCACUGCCAAAGUGGGUUUGGGCUUCAGGUAAUCAGAGUCCAGUUGAUCGAAUACCUUUAGACAAUAAGCACCUGUACUCCUGGGUCUGGCGGAGGAGGGGCUGGGGACCUGGACUCCUGGGUCUGAGGGAGGAGGGGCUGGGGCCUGUACUCCUGGAUGUAAAGGAGGGUCUGAGGCCUGGACUCCUGGGUCUGAGGGAGGAGGGGCUGGGGGCCCAGACUUCGGGUCUGAGGGAGGAGGCAGCUAGAGUCUGGAUUCUUACUUAGGUCUGAGGGAGGCGGGCCUGGGGUGCGCACCCCUGAGCCCUGGGGGAGCAGGACCUGUCGGUCCCUUGGUCUUCUAAGGCCCGUCAGCACUUGGGUACCCGGAGGCCUUCACUUACCUGUGUGCCUUCCCUGGUCGUCUUCUUGUCUGAGCUGAUCUCCAGGCUGGGACCAAAGGUCUCUGGGGUGGGAGGUGCUUGCGUUUGACUUUGCCCCAGCAUGGAGGAGGGGGCGGGAGCUGACUCAGCUCUUUCUAGGGAGCCCUCGUCAGGGCAGGGAGGGGAUUUGGCCUCCUUCAGGACCAUCUGCCCCUGUCUAGAAUGGACUGAGACUGGGACAGAACAGGCAGGCCAGCGGGACCUCCAAGUGCAGGAGGUGGCGAGCGGGCUGCCAGGGCCCCUGCUGUGCCCCACUCACCCCCUCUCUCACUUCUUUCUCCACCCAGAUCUGGGCACGAAAGUUUCUCUCUGUCCCUUGGCUUCUGUGUGGUCCCAGAAGAUAUGCCUCCUCCAGUUUCAAGGCUGCAGACCUGCAGCUGGAAAUGACACAGAAGCCUCAUAAGAAGCCCGGCCCCGGCGAGCCCCUGGUGUUUGGGAAGACAUUUACCGACCACAUGCUGAUGGUGGAAUGGAGUGACAAGGGCUGGGGCCAGCCCCGAAUCCAGCCCUUCCAGAACCUCACGCUGCACCCAGCCUCCUCCAGCCUCCACUACUCCCUGCAGCUGUUUGAGGGCAUGAAGGCGUUCAAAGGCAAAGACCAGCAGGUGCGCCUCUUCCGCCCCUGGCUCAACAUGGACCGGAUGCUGCGCUCAGCCAUGCGCCUGUGCCUGCCGAGUUUCGACAAGCUGGAGUUGCUGGAGUGCAUCCGCCGGCUCAUCGAAGUGGACAAGGACUGGGUCCCCGAUGCCGCCGGCACCAGCCUCUAUGUGCGGCCUGUGCUCAUUGGCAACGAGCCCUCGCUGGGUGUCAGCCAGCCCACGCGCGCGCUCCUGUUCGUCAUUCUCUGCCCAGUGGGCACCUACUUCCCUGGAGGUUCCGUGACCCCGGUCUCCCUCCUGGCCGACCCAGCCUUCAUCCGGGCCUGGGUGGGCGGGGUCGGCAACUACAAACUAGGGGGGUAAGUGGCACCCCCAUCCCCAGAACGACUGGCACACUGGGCGUUGGAGUCACAGGGACCAGCGUGCUUGCUUUCGGCCGUGCCUCUGGAUGUCACAUGAAGGUGACAUCAUCAGCACCGUGCAGGGCUCAGUGCUAAGUGACCUCCCUGGUCCCUGAAAACAAACCGUGGAAGGAGGAGGGGAUUAUUUUCCAGAUGGACAAAAAGGCUCACAGAUGGGAAGGCACUGGGUGGAGGUCAGUGGGGAAACCAGGACUGGUCCUGGGAAGCCUCCAGGAAUGAAGCUUACACUCAGCUCAUUGGCCCCUCACCCCAGAACCCUCCCCUGAUCCCCCCGGGCUGGGCUGCGCUCCCCAUACCCAGCUCCCACAGUCGUUUGAGCCUCCAAAGCCCCUCAUCCCCGUGUGGACUCUCUGUGUAAAUCUGUCUCCCAGUGGCCCCAGCUCAGCAGGGCAGGAAGGAGACAGCUGGGUCUCCUGGGCAACCAAGAUAGAGGGUGGGCACUGGCGUGUUGGGACAGGAAUGUGGCCCCAGCUGGGGGUGCAUUCAGGUCCUUUCAGCCACAUCCUGUGAGGUCUCCUGAGGGCCAGGCCCUGUGCUGGCAGAAGCUGGGAACACAGAUGAGUCAGCCCCGAGCCCUGCCCUCCUGGGUCUCCCAGGCUGGUGGGAGCCCCAGUAUUCGGAGCUGCAUGUUCUCUGGUGAGGUGACCCAGAGCAUUGUGAAAGGCUUCACAGAGGCCGGAGGCAGUGGCUCAUGCCUGUAAUCCCAGCACUUUGGGAGGCCGAGGCGGGCGGAUCAUGAGGUCAGGAGAUCGAGACCAUCCUGAUUAACACAGUGAAACCCCAUCUCUACUAAAAAUAC
rnacentral:sRNA from 1 species